rnacentral:rRNA from 1 species
ACGGAGGGAUCAUUACCGAGUUUACAACUCCCAAACCCCUGUGAACAUACCACUUGNUUGCCUCGGCGGAUCAGCCCGCUCCCGGUAAAACGGGACGGCCCGCCAGAGGACCCCUAAACUCUGUUUCUAUAUGUAACUUCUGAGUAAAACCAUAAAUAAAUCAAAACUUUCAACAACGGAUCUCUUGGUUCUGGCAUCGAUGAAGAACGCAGCAAAAUGCGAUAAGUAAUGUGAAUUGCAGAAUUCAGUGAAUCAUCGAAUCUUUGAACGCACAUUGCGCCCGCCAGUAUUCUGGCGGGCAUGCCUGUUCGAGCGUCAUUUCAACCCUCAAGCACAGCUUGGUGUUGGGACUCGCGUUAAUUCGCGUUCCUCAAAUUGAUUGGCGGUCACGUCGAGCUUCCAUAGCGUAGUAGUAAAACCCUCGUUACUGGUAAUCGUCGCGGCCACGCCGUUAAACCCCAACUUCUGAAUGUUGACCUCGGAUCAGGUAGGAAUACCCGCUGAACUUAAGCAUAUCAAUA